CACAGUUUGCCCACCGGACGGCCCUGCUAGGUGGGAAGCUCCUUGCAGGCAGGAACCCCAUCUCCUUGACUUUACUUUGGAAUCCCCGCAGCCUCAUACGGGGCUGAGGCAGGUCCUUCCGUAAAAUGGAACUGAAUGAGCGGCGCUUAAUCCAUCCGCCAAAGGCCAGUCUCCCUUGGGUUUUCAACAGGUCGUUCCUCACCUCGUGCAGCAUUGCUGUGAGUGGGCGACAAGGAACCUCGUGGUCUCCGUGUGCUUUGCGGGGACCACCUCUUCGCAGGGGCCGCCACCUGCCUCUCCGGCGCUGCAUCCUUAGCAUCCCCACUGCCCCCGGAUCUCCUUCAGGGAGGUGCGGCGGCAGAGCGGCCCCAGCAGCCUCCUCCUGUGGCCCAGGCGCACCAAGGCGAGCGCGGCCACGAGUUCCGGCCCAGCGCCACCCAGACUCUUUGAUGUGGGUUUGUGUGUGGGAGAGUAAAAGAUGCACACACCCUCCGCAAGUCUAGAAUUUGUGGUUUUUGUUAUCUCACAACUUCAUAUUUGGAAGAAGUAUUUUAAUGUCUUAUGAGUUGUGAAUAAUUAUGUAAUUCUGCCACUUUCUCAAAACCAAGAUUUUUCAAACGGACUGCUCUAGUCUGGAGCUGACAUCCUUAAGAGAACUUUGCUUUUUUUCCUGUGGGUUUUAAGCAAGAGUGUGCCAAAUGAAUUCUUUCGUCCGCUUAAAACAGUUCAUUAGGGGGAACCAUCCUGUAAAAGGAAAGGAAAGGAAAGGAAAAUCCUUCCUUCUUCAAAUGAAUUCUCAAAAAUUACUUCUGAGAUGCAAAUGCUGCCUGAGUGUUUGAGCUCCGUGAGAGAGUCCACUUCCCAACUUGUUUUCAGUCUGCUGUUGGGUGCUACUGAAUUUCUUAAACAUUGUGUUUCUCCCUUAUCUGUGAAUUAGCCAUGUGUUCUUUGGAAUCUCUUCCUGGGUCUUCGUUAUUCUUCCUCAGUUAUUUAAGAACCUAGGGAAGGCCCGGCGUGGUGGCUCACGCCUGUAAUCCCAGUACUUUGGGAGGCCGAAGCGGGCGGAUCACCUGAGGCCGGGAGUUUGAGACCGGCCUGACCGACAUGGAGAAUCUAAAAAUGCAAAAUUAGCCGGGCGUGGUGGCGGGCGCCUGUAAUCCCAGCUACUCGGGAGACUGAGGCAAGAGAAUCGCUUAAACCUGGGAGGCGGAGGUUGCAGUGAGCCGAGAUUGCGCCAUUGCAUUCCAGCCUGGGCAACAAGAGCGAGACUCCGUUAAAAAAAAAAAAAAAAGAAAAGAAAAAGAAAAAACCCUAGGGAAAGGGUCACGAAGACUGCAUCAUCAAAUGACACCAUGAACUCCUCAAGGGUCUACCCAUUGUUUUAACUUACUGCCCAAAAGGUACUUCUCAUUCGAAUAGCCCCCAUUCUACAGUCAUCUCUAUCAAUCAUCAUGUCACUUGAUCAUGACAUCGUUCUAAGCACCUGUAACAUCCCAGACCCUGUCUGAAGCACCAGGAAUGCUGGGUGAGCGGGACAGAAGGGACCACAGAUCCUCACGUUGCCUUAUCAAGUUUAGACUCUAGUGGUCCCGAUGGCUGAUCUCAUGACAUUCAAAUAGGAGGCGAUCAUUUCCUUAAAUACAAACACGAGAUUGUCAAUAGUUAGGAUGUGCUUAUUUUUCCUCCAGGGCAUAAGAUUUUUUUUCUUGUAUGUAUUUCAUAUCCCUAGCUGGAGAAAUAUCAAAAGAAUCUGAAUAUCACCAUCUGGAAGUUGUGCCAUGGACUCCAGUGGGCAGGAUUCGAGCUGGGAUUCUCUUCUUCCUCUAGCAGUGUAUUUCUUCUGCUUAAAAUGAGCACAAACACAUCUAAUUCCCUAAUGGACCAACUCAGACCUAAAAGUCUCUUAUUCUUUGCCCGCCUUCCUCUACCCACAUGGAUUCCUGGGAUUCUCUAAAUGCAGAUGGCAAUGGGGAGGGCUGGGGAUUCCCAUCAAGGAUAUUUGAUCAUCGGUGACUUCACUUAACCAAUAAAUCAAACGUGUUGAAAUACACACAUGUCAGAAA
rnacentral:lncRNA from 1 species